GGUUACUGCUAUCGGUGUUCGCCUAAGCCAUGCGAGUCAUAUGUUCCUCGGAACAUGGCGUACUGCUCAGUAACACGUGGAUAACCUGCCCUUGGGUCCGGCAUAACCCCGGGAAACUGGGGAUAAUUCCGGAUAACGCAUAUAUGCUGGAAUGCUUUCUGCGUAAAAUGGAUUCGUCUGCCCAAGGAUGGGUCUGCGGCCAAUCAGGUAGUAGUGGGUGUAAUGUACCUACUAGCCGACGACGGGUACGGGUUGUGAGAGCAAGAGCCCGGAGAUGGAUUCUGAGACAUGAAUCCAGGCCCUACGGGGCGCAGCAGGCGCGAAAACUUUACAAUGCGGGAAACCGUGAUAAGGGGACACCGAGUGCCAGCAUCAUAUGCUGGCUGUCCGGGUGUGUAAAAUACACCUGUUAGCAAGGGCCGGGCAAGACCGGUGCCAGCCGCCGCGGUAACACCGGCGGCCCGAGUGGUGAUCGUGAUUAUUGGGUCUAAAGGGUCCGUAGCCGGUUUGGUCAGUCCUCCGGGAAAUCUGACGGCUUAACCGUUAGGCUUUCGGGGGAUACUGCCAGACUUGGAACCGGGAGAGGUAAGAGGUACUACAGGGGUAGGAGUGAAAUCUUGUAAUCCCUGUGGGACCACCUGUGGCGAAGGCGUCUUACCAGAACGGGUUCGACGGUGAGGGACGAAAGCUGGGGGCACGAACCGGAUUAGAUACCCGGGUAGUCCCAGCCGUAAACGAUGCUCGCUAGGUGUCAG
rnacentral:rRNA from 1 species